rnacentral:rRNA from 1 species
CCGGUGCCAGCCGCCGCGGUAAUACCGGCGCCACUGGUGGUAGCCGCGUUUAUUGGGCCUAAAGCAUCCGUAGCCGGACAACUAAGUUUUUAGUGAAAUCCAACAGCUUAACUGUUGGGCGUGCUAGAAAUACUGGUUGUCUUGAAACCGGGAGGAGUCAGGAGAAUUUCUGGGGGAGCGGUAAAAUGUUGUAAUCCCAGGAGGACUAUCUGUGGCGAAGGCGCCUGACGAGAACGGGUUUGACGGUGAGGGAUGAAAGCUAGGGGAGCAAACCGGAUUAGAUACCCGGGUAGUCCUAGCCGUAAACGCUGCUUGCUUGGUGUUGCAUAUCUUUCGCGGAUAUGCAGUACUGUAGUGAAGACGUUGAGCAAGCCGCCUGGGGAGUAUGGUCGCAAGGCUGAAACUUAAAG